AUUGAACGCUGGCGGCAUGCCUUACACAUGCAAGUCGAACGGCAGCACGGGAGCUUGCUCCUGGUGGCGAGUGGCAAACGGGUGAGUAAUACAUCGGAACGUACCCUGAAGUGGGGGAUAACGUAGCGAAAGUUACGCUAAUACCGCAUAUUCUGUGAGCAGGAAAGAGGGGGAUCGCAAGACCUCUUGCUUUAGGAGCGGCCGAUGUCGGAUUAGCUAGUUGGUGAGGUAAAGGCUCACCAAGGCGACGAUCCGUAGCGGGUCUGAGAGGAUGAUCCGCCACACUGGGACUGAGACACGGCCCAGACUCCUACGGGAGGCAGCAGUGGGGAAUUUUGGACAAUGGGCGCAAGCCUGAUCCAGCCAUGCCGCGUGAGUGAAGAAGGCCUCGG
rnacentral:rRNA from 1 species